GGAAUUUCUCCUCCUCCUUGCAAUUGCUUUUCAACUUCUAUUCUUGAAACAUAUUUUCAAGAGAGUGGUGAAUUUCUUUGAAAGUGGGCCUAUCAGCAGCAGACCACUGCCAACAUUGCCGCAUCAAUUCAUAUACUUUCGGUGGACAUCCAGGUGGACAUUCCAUUCUGUAGCCUUUUUCCAGCAUAUGAUAGACAUCGGUCAAAUCAACACCAGGGUAGGGAGACAUUCCAUAGGUUGCUAUUUCCCAAAGUAAGAUGCCAAAUGCCCACACAUCAGACU
rnacentral:misc_RNA from 1 species